UUCCGGUUGAUCCUGCCAGACCUGACUGCUAUCGGAUUGAUACUAAGCCAUGCGAGUCGUUGUAGCAAUACAAGGCAUACGGCUCAGUAACGCGUAGUCAACCUAACCUAUGGACGGGAAUAACCUCGGGAAACUGAGAAUAAUGCCCGAUAGAACAUUAUGCCUGGAAUGGUUUAUGUUCCAAAUGAUUUAUCGCCAUAGGAUGGGACUGCGGCCUAUCAGUUUGUUGGUGAGGUAAUGGCCCACCAAGACUAUUACAGGUACGGGCUCUGAGAGGAGUAGCCCGGAGAUGGGUACUGAGACACGGACCCAGGCCCUAUGGGGCGCAGCAGGCGAGAAAACUUUGCAAUGUGCGAAAGCACGACAAGGUUAAUCCGAGUGAUUUCUGCUAAAGAGAUCUUUUGUUAGUCCUAGAAACACUAACGAAUAAGGGGUGGGCAAGUUCUGGUGUCAGCCGCCGCGGUAAAACCAGCACCUCAAGUGGUCAGGAUGAUUAUUGGGCCUAAAGCAUCCGUAGCCGGCUCUGUAAGUUUUCGGUUAAAUCUGUACGCUCAACGUACAGGCUGCCGGAAAUACUGCAGAACUAGGGAGUGGGAGAGGUAGACGGUACUCGGUAGGAAGUGGUAAAAUGCUUUGAUCUAUCGAUGACCACCUGUGGCGAAGGCGGUCUACCAGAACACGUCCGACGGUGAGGGAUGAAAGCUGGGGGAGCAAACCGGAUUAGAUACCCGGGUAGUCCCAGCUGUAAACUAUGCAAACUCAGUGAUGCAUUGGCUUGUGGCCAAUGCAGUGCUGCAGGGAAGCCGUUAAGUUUGCCGCCUGGGAAGUACGUACGCAAGUAUGAAACUUAAAGGAAUUGGCGGGGGAGCACCACAAGGGGUGAAGCCUGCGGUUCAAUUGGAGUCAACGCCGGG
rnacentral:rRNA from 1 species